rnacentral:rRNA from 1 species
CAAAGGGUGAGGCUGUGUUUGACAUUUCUAACGCUGGCCGCCUAAUCAGCGCAGGUAAGCACCGGCGUACGGCGUUUGUUUAUGCCAAAAUAAAUCUAGUCCAAACAGGAGGGGGGUGGAAGAGAAGAGAAGGUCGAGGCCAUGGUCUAGGCGUCUAGCUAGCUGCCUCUCUCCCUAUAUAUACAAGGCCAUGGCAAGGCUCGUAAAGGGCUAGAGAAGAAAGGAUUGGAAGGCUACGGAAGCUAGCUGGUGAGAGAGGAGGAGGAGAGGGACCUUUGCCUUGCUCUAAGGAGAGAUAGCUUGUCUUCUGUGAAGGAGAUCGAGAUGAUCAAGGGAGACCAGCGGCAGCUUGGAGCUCAUGAAGAGCGGUUGAAAGAUCAGAUGAGAGAUGAUCAUCGGGCCUCAGAUGGCAAUUUUUUCAAGUUCUUGCAAAACCAGUCAAGCACAGAAAAAGAGGCUCAAGAAGACAAGAUUGCGUCCACAAGGGCAGAGAUGGGCGAAGUGAGAAAAGAGAACGAGAGGCUGAAGAUGAUGCUAUCACGGAUGGUGGAGGACCAUCGCUCCCUUCAGAAGCAAUUCGACGUUCUCCACCAGCAAGGGCGAGGCAAGAACCUCGCCGUUGGCUCACCGGAUCAUACAUCACUGGUCGACGGCCCUGGGUUCGUCUCUUUGCGCCUUGGAACGAGCGCCGUCAUGAGCAGGCAGAACAUGGGAGAAGAGAUCAAGGACAGCACUAAUAAUCCAGAUGACAAGGGCAUCUUUCUUGGACUUUCAUCAGCCUGCGGAGCUGUUGGUGCAAGAACUGAUGGAAGUGAGACGAAGGUGCGGCCAGAUGUGGUGACAUUGAGCCCUCGAGGCAGCUCCGAGGGGGAGGCCGCGGAGACGACAACGUCAGCCGCAGCAAGCAAGAUGGCGAAGAACCCGAGAAUCACCGUCAGCGGCGCGGAGACGGAGGAGGAGGUGGCCCGGCAGCCACUGGCCAAGAAGGCCAGGGUGUCGGUGAGGGCAAGGUGUGACACACCAACGAUGAACGAUGGUUGCUAGUGGAGGAAGUACGGGCAGAAGAUAUCCAAGGGGAACCCGUGUCCACGCGCCUACUACCGCUGCACCGUCGCAACAGGGUGUCCCGUCAGAAAACAGGUGCAAAGAUGCGGGGAGGACAUGUCGAUCCUGAUCACCACCUAUGAGGGUGCGCACAACCACCCGUUGUCUGCCUCCGCCACCGCCAUGGCAUCCACCACCUCGGCCGCGGCAUCCAUGCUCAUGUCAGGCUCCUCUACCUCGCUCGGCUUCCCCUCUGCCGCCUCCAGCCUCCACGGCCUUCGGUUCGGCCUCCCGGGGGCGGCCAACAGUGCCUCCUCUAACAAGCUGGGUGGCCGACCGUUCUUCCUCCCGGCCGCCACCGGCGCGUCCAUCAGUGCUACCCCAUCGUACCCCACCAUUACACUUGACCUCACCUCGCAGGCCGCCUCGCAGCAGGCCUUCUCCCUCAGCAACAACAACAGGUUCUCCUCCAGCUUCACCAGCUCUCAUGGCCACAGCGGUAACACUGGUAGGUACCCUUCGACGAGCUUCUCCUUCUCCGGCUCCGGCGCCAGCAGCCUGCCCGGCGCCACCGCAUGGCCGGCCGGAGUUGGAUCGUACCUGAGCUACGGAUCCUCGUCCGGUGCGCCCUACAAUGGCGUCGGCAAGAGCUCGUUCGAGGCCGCGCUGAGCAGCAUCAAUGGAAGACAGCAAGGCUCGGUGGCAUUCCUCCACCAGCCGGUCACUACCAGAAUUUGAUACGUUGCCGAGGCCCAUGACCGUCGGCAUAGGGCCAAAAGCCGUCGGCAAAGGGUUACGCCGACGGUCCCCGUCAGCAUAUCCCCGUCGGCAACUCGUACGUCGGCGUACCUCAGGUCGGCCAUCGGCAUACAAAAACCGUCGGCAUAGUGAGCUAAGCCGACGGGGGUCGUACCACCGUCGGCAUACAUACCCCGUCAGCAACAUUUUCCACCUGACGGACGUUGACGACGCCACCUGACACGUGGCAGCUUCUGGGCGACCGUGACCUGGCGGUACGCCGACGGUUAGGCCGUCGGCAUAGUUUUGGGCCUAUGCCGACAGCCCAACCUUCGGCAUAGCUCCGUGCCACGGCUGCCCAGGUGCUGCCACAUGUCAGAUACGCCGACGAUUAGGCCAUCGACAUAGGCCUAUGCCGACGGCCGAAUUGUCGGCGUAUCUGUGCGACAGGGUUUCCCAGGUGCUGCCACAUGUCAGCUAUUGGUAUCACAGAGGCACUAUGCCGACGGCCUAACCGUAGGCAUAGAUGCAAACCUAUAUUCAUGAAUAAAUAAUACAAAUGAUAUUGCAAAAAUUGAAUAAAAGAACUGUAUUCAUAAUAAAUGGAACAUUUCAAUUAUUUGGUCUGAUUAUUUGGUCUGAAUAAUAAACAAUAGACUUUAUUAAUAUAAAUGUCAAUUACAAGUAUUUAGGAAUUACACUUGGAGGAAAAAGAAAUAAAAGAAAGGAAAAGUCCUAAACUAAACCUAUACUAAACUAUCUGGUUCUUCAUCUUCUGCUUCUUUCUUCCAGUUCAUCAACCUGCAAAAAAAGAAACAACAUAACCGUCGGCAUAGGUAUGCACUGUUUUUAUUUUUAAAAUUUUUGUGCU